GUCAACGAUCAUACCAUGUUGAAAACACCAGUUCUCGUCCGAUCACUGAAGUUAAGCAACAUCGGGCGCGAUUAGUACAUGGCUACCUAAGACAGGUUUUGCCUUCU
rfam:Aedes albopictus isolate Foshan contig157764, whole genome shotgun sequence.